GUUAUGAUGCAGAUGUCUGAUGGCGUCUCUUUUUUUGCCGAACGAAACGUUAGUGUAUCAACAAACUAUACUGAAGUUUAACUUAUCAUGGCGACACCUAUAGAAAGAUAAAGAAGAUUGAAUUUACAAAGGAAGAACGGCGUUGUGCCGUGAAAAUGACUUUUGUCUACAACAACAUAGAUAUUUCAAAUCGGGAGGUCUCAAAUAUGUCCCUUUUCAUACCUCAGACAGGUCUCUGAAGUAGCUGAGUGAUCACUGCUAUGACUUUAAUGAGAAGGAAAUAUGCCUCUCCCCUCUCCCCCCCAGAUCUUAAUCGGAUGGAUUAUUUUGUCUGGAACUUUGUUGAAUCUGGACCAAAUCAAACAUCUAAUGCCAUCAAGGACUUCUGAUUGUGUCCAUCAAGGAGACAAUAACCAACAUGCCAACGAACUACCUCGUCAACGCCUUCUUCUCCUUCCAGACCUAAAUCGACUAUAAUUGAUACUGGAGGCAGAUACAUCAAAUGACCUCUUUUUCAUAAGUGCAAUUCAAGGAAAUCCCCCAAAAAUGUAGCUUCAGUAACAUUUUUUUUUAAAGCACCCAUUUGAUCUUAACACCCUGUAUGUCAACGACUUUAUCAUGAAUUAUACAUUGCUAAGUUCUAGCAUCCUGCUGAAAAAAUUAUCUUCAUUUCUUAAGAAGAUUUGCCAACCAAUUGCAAGCUUGCUUAAGUUCCAAUAAAUAUCUUAUAUUAAUCAACAUUCAAAAUAACCCUAGUUUGUUCAGCAAAGGAGAAAUGAUCUGAAUCAUUGACUUUCAUGGACAAAGUUCCCAUCUUAAUCUAUAUACAUCUAGUACAAUCUUUGAUGUAAGUAGAGAUUUCAAUAUAUUUUCAGAGCCUUUUGAUAGAAAAAUGGACUGCAUAUGAAUACAAAUUAUUCUUCGCAAUGGACCGUAGCAGUAGUAUUCGGCGAUUCCUUCUAAAUGCCUUGAAAUUUACGUAUUAAGUUUGAAUAAUUGUGAUGGUCCAGUUGGUUUACUUUUUUGUAGAAAUUUCUCAAAGCAGGAAUACAACGGUUAAAAAGUCUCAAGAUGAAACGUCGCCAGGCAAAACAGUACAAGGCAAAUAAGGGAGAUAGAAAAAAUGGCACAAGGCGGGCACGUGCAUGGCAAAAAUGUUCAAGGCAAAUUCUUUUAAAACGUCUUUAUAUUAUAUAUAUUAUUGUGAAUUUAAAAAAAAUUGUGAU
rnacentral:lncRNA from 1 species